GAACCAUAGCCUCAAGCUUCGAUGCAGGAAAAAGCUGAAUGCACAUCGCCGGAACCCGAAACUCUACAUGUCGUCGUUUUUCAAUUCCUAGCCAUGUCUGAGUUACACGACCACCAUGGAUGAAGUCAUCACCUCAAAGAGCAUAACCCUCUAACUCCGACCUCCAAUUUCGGCAAGACCCGCCGUACGCGCCGCCGCAGUGCAUAGCCGCCGAACUCCCAGACCUUCUUAACUAAGUAAUUUCGUCCUCUCCCUUUGGAUAACGCCUCGAGUCAUUGUGAAUCGAAAACCCUAAUUUACUACUCUCUGAUUGGAAUUUGAGGUUUGUGGAAUCUGGAAAAUUGAAGCUUUGGAGAAGAAAUGAGCUACUGGGUCAGUUUCGACUGAAAUCGAAUAAGGAAUUCAGAUGGUUAAUGGUUAUGGAUUUCUGCGUUUUUGGAGUGUUGGAAAAGAAAGAAACUGUUGUUUCAGCCCAAAUGAUUUUGGAAAUUGGGAUUCGAAAGAUUGGUGA
rnacentral:lncRNA from 1 species